rnacentral:rRNA from 1 species
AUUGAACGCUGGCGGCAGGCCUAACACAUGCAAGUCGAACGAGUGGCGGACGGGUGAGUAAUGUCUGGGAAACUGCCUGAUGGAGGGGGAUAACUACUGGAAACGGUAGCUAAUACCGCAUACCAUCGGAUGUGCCCAGAUGGGAUUAGCUAGUAGGUGGGGUAAAGGCUCACCUAGGCGACGAUCCCUAGCUGGUCUGAGAGGAUGACCAGCCACACUGGAACUGAGACACGGUGCAGAAUCCGACGGGAGGCAGGAGGGGGGAAUAUUGCACAAGGGGCGAAAGCCUGAUGCAGCCAUGCCGCGUGUAGGAAGAAGGCCUGCGGGUUGGAAAGUACUUUCAGCGGGGAGGCGUUACCCGCAGAAGAAGCACCGGCUAACUCCGUGCCAGCAGCCGCGGUAAUUC